rnacentral:rRNA from 1 species
GAUGAACGCUGGCGGCGUGCCUAAUACAUGCGAGUCGAGCGAACAGAUGAGGAGCUUGCUCCUCUGACGUUAGCGGCGGACGGGUGAGUAACACGUGGAUAACCUACCUAUAAGACUGGGAUAACUUCGGGAAACCGGAGCUAAUACCGGAUAAUAUAUUGAACCGCAUGGUUCAAUAGUGAAAGACGGUUUUGCUGUCACUUAUAGAUGGAUCCGCGCCGCAUUAGCUAGUUGGUAAGGUAACGGCUUACCAAGGCAACGAUGCGUAGCCGACCUGAGAGGGUGGUCGGCCACACUGGAACUGAGACACGGUCCAGACUCCUACGGGAGGCAGCAGUAGGGAAUCUUCCGCAAUGGGCGAAAGCCUGACGGAGCAACGCCGCGUGAGUGAUGAAGGUCUUCGGAUCGUAAAACUCUGUUAUUAGGGAAGAACAAAUGUGUAAGUAACUAUGCACGUCUUGACGGUACCUAAUCAGAAAGCCACGGCUAACUACGUG